UCCAGUAUAUUUCAUAUUUAUAUUUAUUUGUGAGGCCCUCGUCAUCAUUUAUAUUCACUAAAAGCACAGUCGCCUAAAGAUUUAAUAAAUAUAGCGAAAAAUUGCGAAAAUUGGGGGAAAUAAUAUAUUUUUAGUAGCAUUAUUAUUUUAAAAUCUUAAGAGGUUCCCCGGCCGUUACUUGCAAAUUAAACUCUUAAAGUGUAUAACGAUCUAUAACGAAUAUAUGCAUUCAUCAUGUGUGCAGAUACGGCGGAUAUAUAGGGUCUGUCAUAAGUGCACUUUGUAUGCCCUGCAUGUGUGCACUCAGGAGGUCCUCCUGAGCGGUGUUUAGACGUACCGGGAAAAUCUUAUCUGAUUCAGGAUCAAUUCAUCGGUUACACUCCCCUGUCACCAGUGAUCCUUUUUGCUGACAUUCUGAAAAAGUAUUGUGUAGUCCCUGUGGCAAGAACAUUAAAGAUAAAGAGGAAACUAUAAACAGAAGAAAUUAUCAACAAAAUAAGAUUUACAGAGGUCAAAAAAGCCUAAAUGGUCAGACAUCUCGAUUUUCAUAGUCAUCAUUCACAGAUCAAUACUGAACGGAAAACUUAAAGCUGAUAUUUUUCUCCAUAGUGCGACUUUUUUUAUUAAUUUGAAAUGGAAUGUGUAUUUUCCUACAUUUAUUUGAAAGAGGAAAUUUCAACAUGAGGACUAUAACCAAAAAGGAGUCAUAUCAUCACGAUCAUUGAUGCACAAGAACUUGAUCAUAGAAAUACAACAAUGUAAUUAUCAAUUGAAAGAUGGAACGAAUGAACAAAAUAUUAGAAUGUUGUUGUCCAAAUAAAAUUGCUUUGUCUUCUCAUUUGAAUCUCUCCAUUCAAUAAAGAUGUACAGAGGAAGAUCUUUGAAGAACAGAUUGAAAAAAAUGUUUUGUCUAAGAAUUGCAGGAAUAUUCUAGUGAAUGAAAUUAUUUAUUGACUUCACUCUUAUAUAGUGGACUGAAUAAUUGUACAUAGCGAGUUGUGAAUAAAGAAAACAAAAACUUUAACAAAAAGUGUUUAUAUUAUAAAUUUGCAAAUAUAAGCAUACUAUUAUGUACACUACAAAGGUAUAUCUAAUUCAAAUUGUUUGCAUAUGCAAGUAUUGCAAUGAAACUAUAACAAAGAAAAUCUUACCUCAUGAAAAGAGUAAACUAUUCAGUCAGAAUAUAAAAUAUUUUUCAGUUCUAUUUUUCAUAAUAGAAUAAACAAGUCAAAGAUUUCAAAACAAUAUUUUUUCAUUUAUUUAGACAUUUCAUCAUUUUGUUUCAGUGAACGGACUUUAUUCUUUGACUGUAAAUAUUAUUAUACAUUCCAAAAUAAUAAUGAUCUUUAUUGUCAUAUAAACAAAUAAAAAACAUGUU